CGCAAGAGUAGAAGCGUUCAGCAGCGCACGCACCACGAACGUGCGCCCGCCCGGAAAUUGCUCUUGAA
ncrna:Variovorax paradoxus EPS NMT1 RNA